GCUCGCGUAGCUCAGCCGGAUGAGCGUUGGUCUUCUAAACCAAGGGACGCAGGUUCGAUUCCUGCCGCGAGCG
rnacentral:tRNA from 1 species